AGAUAGUUGUGAUAUUUACAUAUAUUUGGUUAGUGCAAAAGUAAUUGCAGUUUUUGCCAUUUUUUUAAAGUAAUGGCAAAAACAGCAAUUACUUCUGCACAACCUUAUAUUUAUUUAUAUAUAUAAAACCCUUUGUAC
rnacentral:miRNA from 10 species